UACGUAGGCAGCGAGCGUUGUUCGGAGUUCCUGGGCGUAAAGGGUGUGUAGGCGGUUGUUUUAGUUUGGUGUGAAAUCUCCCGGCUCAACUGGGAGGGUGCGCCGAAUACUGAAUGACUUCGAGUGCGGGAGAGGAGAGUGGAAUUCCUGGUGUAGCGGUGAAAUGCGUAGAUAUCAGGAGGAACACCGGUGGUGUAGACGGCUCUCUGGACCGUAACUGACGCUGAGACACGAAAGCGUGGGUAGCAAACAGG
rnacentral:rRNA from 1 species